GAAAAAAAAACACUCCCCGUCCACCACCUCCCUCGAUCCCCAACCUUUCCCCGAUCUCUCUACUGUGAGGCGCCAGCGCCGUGCAUCUCUCCCCACUCCUCGAUCUCCUAGCACCGCCGCUCCCCACUUCCCUACCUCCCGGCGCCGCCGUGCCCACUUCCCCUGCCUCCUGGUGCCGCCGCUCCCCUCCACCCCGCUUCCCCUACCUCCAAGCGCCACUGCCCCAACCUCCGGCGUGCAACCAGGCUGCCUUCCGCUGCCGCCCCUUGCUCCGGCGUGCCUCCCAUCGCCCUGGCUCCGGCACGCCUCCCACCGCCGCACCCCCGGCCCUGGUGCGCCUCCAGCCGUCGCCUUCUCUCCAACACCUGUGGCCACCGGGACCAGCGACGGCACAACCAGCUACAGAUCCAGUGGGAUUCGCCCCCACUCCUGUCCAUAGUUGGGUGGCUCGCGGCAAAACAGGGCCCCCGCGCCAAAAAACGCAGUGUCCACUCCUAUGAAAAUGCUCCUCCAAUAUCUUCAGGCGGUGUGGGCAUCCGGUCGCAGAGAGAUGUGUGGAGUGCUGCAUUCCGCUCGUUGUUGACCCCGUGGCCGCAAAGGGCCGAGAUUAUUGUCGUGUGUGGACUGCAGCGACGACCGGAUCCGACCUUCACCAGCAUCACCAUUCUUCCUUCUCCUGUUCACCAACGUGCACCGCCCGUCAUGGGUUAAGACACUACUCGGACACUUUGAGGUGCCAUCGAUGGAUGUCGUGUCAAAAAGAUUCGCUCUCUUCGGCUUUAUUGCUGGGUGGAGCAUUGCAACCACUGCUGAGACUGAGACCGGACCUACCUUCCAGCUUGCACUGGCAGUCGUCUCAUGCAUAUACUUUCUAGACGACAAGAUGAAAAACCUUAGCAGGGCGUCUACUACAGGGCUUGGACUCUUUGCGAGCGGCUGGGUAGUAGGUUUGCUGGUAGUCCCAGUGAUCCCGACAUUUAUUUUGUCGCGUACUUGGUGUCUGGAGCUCCUUACUUCGCUAGUCGCUUAUGUAUUUUUAUUCUUGGGUUGCAUCCACAGGGAUCAGACUAAAUUUUUGCCUUGUGAGGUUUCUGAAUGAACAGUAUGCAUAGAUUGUUUAAAGAGGAACUUACUUCACUUUUAGUAUGAUCGGGUUUCAGAAGUAAGCUAAAACAAUAUGGUUUGCAGCAGGUUCAGGCAGUUCUUUUGUUUCAAGAUCAAGAUUACUUUCAAACUACAACCAUCGUCUACUAUUUUGUUGUCCUUUCCAUUUCCCCUUGAGUAGCAUCGUCUGUUGUUUCUUUCACCAGCAUCGUCUGUUGUUUCUUUCACCUGCAGGGUGGCUUGCGUCGGCCGCCGAAGCCCGCCGAGGUGAUGCCCUACUUCUGCCUGCGUCUCCCCGCACCCCUCCUACACACCACAAAGGGCGAUGGAGAGAUCAGAUUGUUGUUGUCGCUGUUCUUCUACUACAUAUUCAGUUCAGAAAAGUUCAGCUUCGCACAGGAUGGAAGUUCAACUGCUGGGGGCACUAGCAACAGCGGUGUUUCGCUUGAUUGUAGUUUCUGCGUUUUUGCUACUGCCAGCAAAUGAGAAGAACGGCCAGCACCAAACUACUACUGCUACUGCUUGUGUUUGCUUGCAUAGUUAAUUUGGGCGUUACCAGGAAGAAGAUAAAGCCAAAAAAAUAUGGAGUGAAAGAGAUAAACGAGUAGUGUGCCUACGUGGUGUGGAUAAGAAACGUGUGUUGUGUGAGAGGAUAAGGAAUGUGUGCGACUAUUUAGUGAUAAAAAUAACUUGUGGUUCAAAGAAAAAGCAAACGUUCUAUUUACCUA